GGGGGCCAGACGGCUAUUGCGGUUAACGGGGAAGUAGGCCAAUACUUCCGUAACAAACGAGGGCUGCGUCAGGGCGACCCAGCCUCUCCGCUCCUCUUCAACUUCGUCGCCGACGCCUUGGCUGCCAUGUUAGACAUGGCACGUGUGGCUGGCCACCUUAGACGGGUUGCCUCCCAGUUGGUCCCGGGAGGAGUAUCCCACCUGCAGUACGCAGACGAUACGCUGCUGCUGUUCGAACCUGACAGACAUAGCAUUGCUACGGUCAAGGCUAUACUGUUGUGUUUCGAACUAAUGUCGGGGCUAAAAAUCAAUUUUCACAAGUUUGAAGUGGUUGCCAUGGGGAUGGGGCCCGACGAUAGUCAGGAGGUGGCGGAUCUGCUUAACUGUAAGUUGGGAUCUCUGCCACUUCAAUACUUGGGGCUUCCUACCAUCCAGGAUUGGGCCCCGUUAUGCAAUACGGUGGCUGGCCGGGUCGGCCCUUGGCGAGGGAGAUUUAUGUCGUCGGGUGCACGGCUUAUUCUAACUAAUUCGAGUCUCUCCUUGAUCCCUAUUUUCACCAUGGGGAUGUUUCUGCUUGCCGAGGGUGUGCAUGCCAAGCUGGACACACCUAGGUCUUGUUUCUUCUGGGAAGGCGCCAACAUCAAAAGGAAAUCCCACCUAGUCAAAUGGGCGGCGGUGUGCCGUCCUAAGUCCCAGGGGGGUUAG
rnacentral:rRNA from 1 species